rnacentral:rRNA from 1 species
CCCGGCGGCCUAUCAGCUUGUUGUGGGGUGAUGGCCUACCAAGGCGACGACGGGUAGCCGGCCUGAGAGGGUGUCCGGCCACACUGGGACUGAGAUACGGCCCAGACUCCUACGGGAGGCAGCAGUGGGGAAUAUUGCACAAUGGGCGCAAGCCUGAUGCAGCGACGCCGCGUGGGGGAUGACGGCCUUCGGGUUGUAAACCUCUUUCAGCAGGGACGAAGGGUGACUGACGGUACCUGUAGAAGAAGCACCGGCCAACUACGUGCCAGCAGCCGCGGUAAUACGUAGGGUGCGAGCGUUGUCCGGAAUUACUGGGCGUAAAGAGCUCGUAGGUGGUUUGUCGCGUUGUUCGUGAAAACUCACAGCUUAACUGUGGGCGUGCGGGCGAUACGGGCAGACUGGAGUACUGCAGGGGAGACUGGAAUUCCUGGUGUAGCGGUGGAAUGCGCAGAUAUCAGGAGGAACACCGGUGGCGAAGGCGGGUCUCUGGGCAGUAACUGACGCUGAGGAGCGAAAGCGUGGGG